AAAAGAGACUAAUUAAAUAAAUGAGGAUUGAUUUGGUAAAUCAUUCAUUCUUAUAAAGUGGGCUUGUGAUCCAUGGUUCUUUAUGUUGGGAUAGACACAUGUGGUGAACCUUGGAUACUCCAUGGUGGUUAAAACCUAUGGAGCCUAAGGAAUGUGGAAAGUCAUGCACAUUAGGGUUUGCAUGGUGUAACCUUAAUUAAUCCACACUAUAUAAGAAGCCCCUUAGCCUCCAAAAUGGUGCACUAGUUCUUGAAAGAUCAUUAAGCCGAUUUUGCUAUGAGGAUAUUAUCUCAAAAGUCACCCUCUAUCUAAAGGUGUGUUGUGAUUCCAUUUGAGGCAUUCAUACUAUUGGUGCUAAGUUCUUAAAGGCCAAAACUACAAGCUACAACAAAAAGGUAAUUCUAUAACUCAUUUCUAUGAUGUUUAUGUCAUUUGUAUGCUAGUUGUAGGCUUAAUGCUUUGGAAACAAUAUUUCAUGUAUAAUUAGAGAAAACAAAGAUCCAAAGCAUCUAGGGUUGCAUGUACACCAUUAGACAGAAAGAUAAAAGUUUCUCUAAUAUGAAAAGAUGGGAGAGAACUUUAGUAUCGUGUUUUAUGAUCAUCUUAAUGAUUAUGAAAACGAUAUGACAAUUGAUCCUCUAAGGAUAUAUUAGUGCAUUUGUAUAGAUAAGGAGAGGAAUCGUGAAUUGUUGAAAUGGUUAAAAGAUGAAUCAUACUUCGUUCCAAGAACAAGUCUUAGAGUCAUACUCCAAGAUUGUAACUUUAGUGACACAAUCUUAAGAAAGGUUUGUAACACUUGUCAAAUAUAGAGUAAAAUGUUUUUUACUCUUGUACAUUUGAGAUUGGUAAGUUGUGAUGUUUUGGAUAAAACAAAGACCAACUAAGACCAACUGUGUGAAGUGUUUGUCUUGAUAAGAAACUGCACUAACUCUUGAAUAUUUUUUUGUUAAGUAAUGUUCCUUGACAAAGUGAAUCUUAUAUGUCAAGAGGUCAGUGGGAGUCUUAAAGAUCUUGAAGAGUUUCAAGAACUAAUCAAGAGUAAACUUGUUGUUAAUCACUAGCACACGACUUGAGGUUUAUAACCUAUUGUGUUGACAUAUACUUGUUUUUGUACCCAUUCAAGGUGAGUUGCUUAACAACUUGGAAUUCAUGGUUGGCCUUUGUGCUACCAGGUGGCAAGAAAUUAAGAUAGAACAAGUUUAGUCCAUAUGAGUUUGGAUUUUUCACAAACCUUGUCUUAUGAUUAUGGUUUGACAAAUUCACAUGGAUAGGAACACAUACGCCAUAAAAUCGAAGUGUCAUCAGGUUUCUCUCCGAUUCAUGAAAAUGAUGGUGAGGAAACGCUUUCACUAAGUAGAUUUUAAGGAGAUAGCAAUUAUGCUAUUUGCAUUCUGAAACUCGAUUAUGAUUACGGAAAAAGGUAUAAAAAUUUGAGAGAAACCCUUUUCAUAAUUCGAAUUCUGAGAAAUGGCAAAAGGUCUAAACAUUUGAGACUUAUUGCUGUGAGUUCUUAAAUUGUUUAGACACAUAUGUAAGCUGUCUAAGGAAAGGUGUAUGAGUUUGAGAAGCCUAGAUAAAGUCUUAUCAAAGCAUCUCAUAUCAGAAAUCUGAACUUUGGGAAGAAAGUCAACGAAGUAUUGAUUUCUAGAAGUCCAGAUAAUUUCUGAGUACAUGUCAAAGCUAGUGGGAGCAUAAGUGUUAUGCUAGUAAGAUAAUAAUUAUUAUGCUAGUUGGAGCAUAAUUAUUAUGGAAAGUGUUGCAAGUUAGCAAUAUUAAUUAUAGAAAACAAAAGUUUUCAAUUUGCAAAGAUGCAGGGUUUGAAAAGUUGUUUUGCUAUAAUUAAGGGAGAGAAAUUCAUACUUCAUUUCAAAAUCUAAAAGCUUAGAUUGAGUUUUUAAUCAAAUUUAGUCAAAUAUAUAUGAAUGUUAUGUUGGAGUGGUUCAACAUAUGGAAAUUCUAUAUAUGGAAAUGAUAAUUGCGUUCUCAAAAUUUGAUUAUGAUUAUGGCAUCCCUCUUCAUAAUUCGAAUUAUGAGAACAUGGCAAAUAGAAAUAUUAUAGCAAAAUACUGAUCAAGUGUCAUGUCUUUAUGUUAGACAUUAUGAAUAGCAUCCCAUGUGCUUCGGGUAUAGGAUCAAUUGCAUAUGCUAUAAUAUUCUCGCGUUCUAAAUUUUCCAAAUGCCUAGGGCAUUAAGAGGGAAAAAGGACUAGAACCGGAUGUGACUAAAGUGGUUAAACAACUAUUGAGGACAAUCUAAGGUUCGCUAAGGACUGGUCACUUAAGGACAGUGGGAAGUAUAGUAAUGGAUGGACCAUAUUGACAUUAUUAUGAAUAGACAUGAAUCUAUUAAUAAUGAGUUGUCGUAUGGUAAAUAUGAAAUGUUUCCAUAUUGGGGGUUGAAGAAUAGAUGAGAAAUUUAGAAACUUUUAUGCAAGAAGGAUGUUCAAAGGAAUGUACAUUGAAUUUGAGACUUGAUUUCCAUGGAAUUGUCUUGUAACAAUCUCUAAAAGGAUAUUUUGUAAUAUCGUUGGUUAAGUCUUUGUGGCUUUUGGUACCUACACAUUACAAAAGAAUGAUUGCAUGAUAGUUUACAAUCUAACACUUUCUAGAAGUGAGAAGAAUUUAGAAUUCUUACACGUGCAAUAAGGAUUUGGAAUUGUGAAAUGAGCAUCAUUGAAAUGUUGUCAAUUUAUAUAUUUCACAAAGUAAGGACCAUAGACAAACAUAGUGUGCAUGCUUGAAGCAUGGGACAACUAUUGUUUUAAUUCAAGUAUUAAGUUGAUUAUUCGAAACAUUAUACAAUGAAUAAUGAGUAAUCAAUAUGGGACUCAAAAGUUUUGGGGCCUUAUAGGAUUAGUAUUAUUCUCGUGUUUCAAUUUACAUGUUUGGACUUCCCGAAUAACUAGGUUAUUCAAACCAUCCACAGUCGAUCAUAGUUUGGAAGUAGGUAGUGAGCCAAGAUUGUGAUGAAUGGGUCUGUAGUUUGUCUAGGUGUAUUAGACAUAGUUAUAGUGUUCAUGAGUACUCCUGGAAUAAGAUUCAAGUAUUGGAUUCAACCCACGCUCAUUUGAAUCACUUCAUGGAUUUGAUCACGAGUGAUCAUGAGACAAUAAUAUCUUAUAUUCUUCAAACGGAGAGUUAUGAGUUACAGUUUACAAGUCGGUUGCACAUUGAUGAUUUGUAAACACACCGGUAACUCGGUGUUAUAAAACCUAUCAUUUUGUGUGAUUUGAUGAGUAGAUAGAGCAAGCAUAUGAGUCGAAGUUUAUCCAUUCCUUUUACCCUUAGAGGGAUAAAAGCGAUAUCUAUGGGCCCUUCGAUGAUUUAGUGAUGACAAACCUAAGUGCUUGGCCAAGCCUGGACUGAUUNGUAAGUGCUCGGCCGGGCCUAGACUGAUUUGAUUUGUUUAAUUAGUCAGCCAUCAUAAAUCGGAAAUCGGGAAACAACAAAUGGACAUAUAGAAUGAUUAUAAUCCAGGUCUCAGUCCAUAUGAUAUCUAGAACGGAGGAAUAUAUGAUCCCUUAUCUAAUGGACGCAUCAUUGACUAGGUCAGAGUUCGACAGCAGCUUUUAAGAGCUACAAUUGCUAGUCGGGUUGUGGAGUCGUACUUGCAAUAAUAGUUAUUAGACUUAUCCAAGUGGAAGACUGUUGGAUUAGUGUCUAAGCCCAUAACUAUAAUUAGUAUGCACUUGACCCGAGAGUAGCAUGGCCCAUUUGGGUUGCAUAUCACUAAGACAAUUUGAUAGGAUGGACUUUUGAGAAGAGGUUAUUUAUGAUUUGUUAAUAUAUUAUAAGUUCUAAUAUAUUAAUAUGAAAUCAUAUUAUUUAAUUAGUAUUGAUCAAGAAUUAGUUUGGAAUUAAUUUUGUGAUCAAAAGAGACUAAUUAAAUAAAUGAGGAUUGAUUUGGUAAAUCAUUCAUUCUUAUAAAGUGGGCUUGUGAUCCAUAGUUCUUCAUGUUGGGAUAGACGCAUGUGGUGAACCUUGGAUACUCCAUGGAGGUUAAAACCCAUGGAGCCUAAGGAAUGUGGAAAGUCAUGCACAUUAGGGUUUGCAUGGUGUAACCUUAAUUAAGCCACACUAUAUAAGAAGCCCCUUAGCCUCCAAAAUGGUGCACUAGUUCUUGAAAGAUCAUUAAGCCGAUUUUGCUAUGAGGAUAUUCUCUCAUAAGUCACCCUCUAUCUAAAGGUGUGUUGUGAUUCCAUUUAAGGCAUUCAUACUAUUGUGCUAAGUUCUUAAAGGCCGAAACUACAAGCUACAACAAAAAGGUAAUUCUAUAACUCAUUUUUAUGAUGUUUAUGUCAUUUGUAUGCUAGUUGUAGUCUUAAUGCUUUGGAAACAAUAUUGCAUGUAUAAUUAGAGAAAACAUAUAUCCAAAGCAUCUAGGGGUGCAUGUACACCAUAAGAGUGUUAGAAUGCUCA
rnacentral:lncRNA from 1 species